rnacentral:rRNA from 1 species
UGGGGAAUUUUGGACAAUGGGGGAAACCCUGAUCCAGCCAUCCCGCGUGUGCGAUGAAGGCCUUCGGGUUGUAAAGCACUUUUGGCAGGAAAGAAACGUCGCGGGUUAAUACCCCGCGGAACUGACGGUACCUGCAGAAUAAGCACCGGCUAACUACGUGCCAGCAGCCGCGGUAAUACGUAGGGUGCAAGCGUUAAUCGGAAUUACUGGGCGUAAAGCGUGCGCAGGCGGUUCGGAAAGAAAGAUGUGAAAUCCCAGAGCUUAACUUUGGAACUGCAUUUUUAACUACCGGGCUAGAGUGUGUCAGAGGGAGGUGGAAUUCCGCGUGUAGCAGUGAAAUGCGUAGAUAUGCGGAGGAACACCGAUGGCGAAGGCAGCCUCCUGGGAUAACACUGACGCUCAUGCACGAAAGCGUGGGGAGCAAACAGGAUUAGAUACCCUGGUAGUCCACGCCCUAAACGAUGUCAACUAGCUGUUGGGGUCUUCGGACCUCGGUAGCGCAGCUAACGCGUGAGGUUGACCGCCUGGGGGAGUA